GGCCUUGACAUGCAGAGAACUUUCCAGAGAUGGAUUGGUGGCCUUCGGGAACGUCUGACACAGGUGCUGCAUGGCGUGUCGUCAGCUCGUGUCGUGAGAUGUUGGGUUAAGUCCGUAACGAGCGCAACCCUUGUCCUUAGUUACCAGCACGUUAUGGUGGGCACUCUAAGGAGACUGCCGGUGACAAACCGGAGGAAGGUGGGGAUGACGUCAAGUCAUCAUGGCCCUUACGGCCUGGGCUACACACGUGCUACAAUGGUCGGUACAAAGGGUUGCCAAGCCGCGAGGUGGAGCUAAUCCCAUAAAACCGAUCGUAGUCCGGAUCGCAGUCUGCAACUCGACUGCGUGAAGUCGGAAUCGCUAGUAAUCGUGAAUCAGAAUGUCACGGUGAAUACGUUCCCGGGCCUU
rnacentral:rRNA from 1 species